CUGGAAUUCCCCUGCGCGCAGCUCGUCGAGUUCUCCCUCCAGCCGCGCUCCGGCUCCCUUCCGCUCGGCGCCCAGCCCCUGUUCCCAUGGCGCUCGACCACCCUCCCUGUUCGCCCAGCCGCUCGUCUCUGGUGCCCAGAUGUGGUCCGUCUCCUCCAGCAGAGCUUCCUGCGCGUGCAGUCACUCUCCUCCCCCAAGCGCCCUCGCUUCCUCCCUCUGUCUGCUCGCCAGGCGCCCAAUCCAUGGCCGAUUGUUCCUGCUCGCUGCUCUCCAGCCGAGCUCCCCUGUUGGCCGGUGCCUAGCCGUUCUUCCUCCCAUGGCUGCUGCGUGCGCUCGGCUGCAGACCGCCGGUCGAGCUCCCUGACCGCGCGUGUCUCCUUGAGCAUGCGUCGCCGUCGAGUUCUCUGGUGUUUGCGCACCAUGAGGUUCCUCCAGCGUCGUGGUCUGCAGUGUUCCAGCUCUCUGGUGCAUGCGUUGAGCUUCCUGCCGUCGCUCAGCUCGCCGGUGUGCGUCCUGCUCCUUACGCGCCCAGCACCGUGCGCCGUGAAGUCCCUGCGCGCAAGCUAUCUGUUGGCCGCGCCUGAAGCUCUCUGUUCGUCGUCAUCGCUCGGUCGUGCGACAGGCUGA
rnacentral:misc_RNA from 1 species